rnacentral:rRNA from 1 species
AUGGCCGAGGUGCGUCGUGGAUCCGCGGGGACGGCGGGCGAGGGGCUCGACCUCGAGCUGCACCUCGGCCUGCCGUCCGCGCGGAUCUCGUUCGACCUCGACCUCAACGUCGACCUGUCGCUCUACGCCGGCCCGAUCCCGGUGGAGAACCUCGCCCUCGUCGUCUACGACGGCCCGGUGGCGGCGGGUGGCGACGACGUGCCGCCCGCGGUGACCGUGGGCGCUGCGGUCGCGGACGUGGAGACGAGGGCCCUCGUCGUUUACGAAGGCCCCGCGGCCGGGGACGGCGUGCCGGUGCCGCCCGCGGUGACCGAGGGCGCUGCGGUCGCGGGCGUGGAGACGGGGGCGCUCGUCGUGUACGAGGGCCCGGCCGACGGGGACGGCGCGGUGACCCAGCUCGGGGUUUUGGCCACGCUGGACGACGAGCUGCAGGGCGAGGCCGGGCAGAUCGUCCCGGCCGGCAGCGCCGACUCCACCGCGCUGGCCCAACCGGGUCUGCGCUAUCUCCCCCUGCAGCAGCUGCCGCCCGACGACGGGAUCACGUUGCUCCCCUGGGCAGGCAGCGGCGCACGCCAGUCGAGGCGGAGGGCCGACAUGGUGCGGGCGUGGGUGCGCGACCAGCUCCAGCACAAACAUGGACUGCCGAGGGACCUCCCGCUGUGCUACAUCGGGGAGAAGGUCCUGUGCCAGUCCGACAUGAACCCGCGGCACGCCCGCCUCCUCCUCCCGGCCCCCGCGCGCGCCCGCCUCUGCCGAGCCUUCCUCCACCCCUUCGAGAUCGCCGCAUGCGGCUUCAACACAAACGACCCCAACCCGAUUAGGAUCCCCGGGGCGAGGGCCACGCCGACGACAUUCCCGGGCGUGCCCUUGUGCGUCUACGUCAGCAGCGGGCGCCGGGGUCGCGGCCAGUGCAAGUCUGACCGCCUGAAGCUCAACAAGUUCCAUCGCAACGACGCCACCGUCAUCAACGGUCAGGGGUACACGAGCUUCAUGGUGGACUGCGGCCUGGAGGCCGGAGACGGCGUCGAGGUGUGGGCGUUCCGGUGGCCGCCUGGGGUCCGUCCGUGCCUUCUGAUCGCCAAGAAGGACGGCGUCCGCGUCCGCGCCCGAAACCCGUAG